AUCGCGCUACACAAGACGUGAACCCUGCGACCUCCAGCAGUGUCAUGGCUGUGCUGCGUGGAUCUACACACGACCACGGGGAGGAAACCGGAGCAGAGGAGCAGGAGGCGAAGGACAUGUCACGUUGGGCGGGGGAGGAUGGAGCCAUUGAACAUCUGCCAUGAGUUUUAGGUGCGCCCAAGAGUUUUCAGCCAAAUGCCGUUUCCGUCUUCUACGAUGGUAAUUUGACAAAGAGACGACACUCUUUUUGCAGCUGCAAAAAGUCGUAUUUCUAUUAUUAUUGCCAGAAAAGCAAGAAUGGGAGAUACAGCUUUAAGCUCCCGGAGGCUACAUCCCAAGGUGAGAAAGACAAUGAUGAAAUAUUAUGAAAAUGGAAUGAAACUUGUGUGUGGAAUACAGAUCAGUCAUUACCUCAGCUGAAGUUUGUAUGAAACUUGCCCUUAUAUAUGAAACACAGCCUUGUGGGUCUUUAAAAGUCGCAAAUGCAGAUGGAAUGUAAAAAGGAGUACGCCAUUGUUAACUACUAGAGGCGCCUCACCGGCCAACGUCAUUGUAGUUUAUUACCGCAGCAAACAUGCGCUCAAUCCAUGUCCAUAAAUGAGUCUUUUAGAAAUAGUUUUCAAUAAGGACAAAUAGAUGCAUGGCUCAGAGAGAUUGGACGUAUUGAGAGAAUGGGCUUUGCUGACAGACUGCCUCUCUCAUAAAAAGUUUUUUUUAGUAUUACCCCCCAAAAGUGUCUGAAUUAUCUUUACAUGCCAGAUCGGAGUGCAGCAGCAAAGACCAGCUGUCUGCAGAGAAAAAUAAAAAGGUCAAAAGUAUCAUGCUUUUACUGCACUAAGCUGACGUCCGAACACAAAUCUACUGGCGGCUCGGCCGAGGCACAGUGGUGCUUUGAGCUAAAUACUAACAGCACGCCAACGAUUCCAACAGACCGAAGUGUAUUUUUAAUUGAACUAAGUACAACUGAUGCUGAUGGAUAUGUCAUUAAUAUUUUGGUCAGACAAGAUUAUGGCCCAUGGUGAUGGCAGAUCAAGUAAUAGUUUAGUCUGGACCCAAGAGAUGGGCUAAGUAUAGUGUGAUGUCUGGGUUGAGAAAAGACUGGGCACUUUGUUCAUUUAUCUCCAUCAAAAUGAUCCGUUAAUAAUCUAAACUGCAGACACGUUUCCCGACUGAUGAAAAAUGUCCGCGAAGGACCAAAUGUUUGAAUUGUCCAUAAUUCACACAGUCCAUUGAACAGAAAGGACGCGGAUCCCUGACAGCUCAAUAAUAUCUUAUCACCAUCUCUGGUCACACACACACAAUAGCCGAUUCAUAGAUUCAGAUUGAGGGGUGCAUUGUUCUCUGGGACUGUUAAGGAGCGCUGCACAGAUUCACGGAGCAUCCAUGAGAAACAUCAGUGGCCAUUCUUCCCUCCUUUGACCCCCAAUUAUUCCAUGUCUUUGUCCAUUCCUGCCAUGUAACCGUUAUCGCAGCUGCAUUUCCUCGCCAGAACUAUACGUAUUCAUGUCCAUAGAGAUCGGUUGACAAAAAGAAGAAUGGGAGGUCUGGUGUGGUUAGAGAAAAAUGUGACCAGCUGUUAGAGAGACUCAGAUGUUCAUUUCACAACCAAGCAUAUUAAUACGAGCAUGGAUCUCUGAGCAAUAAGUCAGCAUUUGGGCGGAUUCUGAAGAUAAAUACGAGGUAAGCACAAGGCUACCACAAAGGAUACAGUUAGCUUUGGAUUAACAGCAACGCUGCACACAAACACAUCUUUACGAUAAAAUGCUCUACAGUCUGUGUCUGGAAGUAAAACAAAACCAGUCGUCAGGCAAGCUGGGGGGUUUGUGGGCUUUGUGCUAAGCUAAAUUGAGCUAAGCUAAUCAGCUGCAUAUGUCGCCACAUGGGGGGG
ensembl:lncRNA